UACGAAGGGUGCAAGCGUUACUCGGAAUUACUGGGCGUAAAGCGUGCGUAGGUGGUUCGUUAAGUCUGAUGUGAAAGCCCUGGGCUCAACCUGGGAAUGGCAUUGGAUACUGGCGACCUAGAGUGCGGUAGAGGGUAGCGGAAUUCCCGGUGUAGCAGUGAAUGCGUAGAUAUCGGGAGGAACAUCCGUGGCGAAGGCGGCUACCUGGACCAGCACUGACACUGAGGCACGAAAGCGUGGGGAGCAAACAGG
rnacentral:rRNA from 1 species